UGGGGAAGUAUUGCACAAUGGGCGCAAGCCUGAUGCAGCCAUGCCGCGUGUAUGAAGAAGGCCUUCGGGUUGUAAAGUACUUUCAGCGGGGAGGAAGGCGAUAAGGUUAAUAACCUUGUCGAUUGACGUUACCCGCAGAAGAAGCACCGGCUAACUCCGUAGCCAGCAGCCGCGGGUAAUACGGAGGGUGCAAGCGUUAAUCGGAAUUACUGGGCGUAAAGCGCACGCAGGCGGUCUGUCAAGUCGGAUGUGAAAUCCCCGGGCUCAACCUGGGAACUGCAUUCGAAACUGGCAGGCUGGAGUCUUGUAGAGGG
rnacentral:rRNA from 1 species